rnacentral:rRNA from 1 species
GGGCCCGCACAAGCGGUGGAGCAUGUGGUUUAAUUCGACGCAACGCGCAGAACCUUACCAGCCCUUGACAUGUCCAGGACCGGUCGCAGAGAUGUGACCUUCUCUUCGGAGCCUGGAGCACAGGUGCUGCAUGGCUGUCGUCAGCUCGUGUCGUGAGAUGUUGGGUUAAGUCCCGCAACGAGCGCAACCCCCGUCCUUAGUUGCUACCAUUUAGUUGAGCACUCUAAGGAGACUGCCGGUGAUAAGCCGCGAGGAAGGUGGGGAUGACGUCAAGUCCUCAUGGCCCUUACGGGCUGGGCUACACACGUGCUACAAUGGCGGUGACAAUGGGAUGCAAAGGGGUGACCCUUAGCAAAUCUCAAAAAGCCGUCUCAGUUCGGAUUGGGCUCUGCAACUCGAGCCCAUGAAGUUGGAAUCGCUAGUAAUCGUGGAUCAGCAUGCCACGGUGAAUACGUUCCCGGGCCUUGUACACACCGCCCGUCACACCAUGGGAGUUGGUUUUACCUGAAGACGGUGCGCUAACCCGCAAGGGAGGCAGCCGGCCACGGUAGGGUCAGCGACUGGGGUGAAGUCGUAACAAGGUAGCCGUAGGGGAACCUGCGGCU